GGACGAACGCUGGCGGGCGUGCCUAACACAUGCAAGUCGAGCGGGACAUGCGACGGAGACGAAGUUUUCGGAUGGAGUCAAAGAUGUAUUGUUCUAGCGGCGGACGGGUGAGUAACGCGUGAGCAACCUGUCCCUUACAGGGGGAUAACACAGCGAAAGUUGUACUAAUACCGCAUAAGACCACGGUGAGACAUCUUACAGGGGUCAAAGGAGCAAUCCGGUAAGGGGUGGGCUCGCGUCCGAUUAGAUAGUUGGUGAGGUAACGGCCCACCAAGUCAACGAUCGGUAGCCGACCUGAGAGGGUGAUCGGCCACAUUGGGACUGAGACACGGCCCAAACUCCUACGGGAGGCAGCAGUGGGGAAUAUUGGGCAAUGGGGGAAACCCUGACCCAGCAACGCCGCGUGAGGGAAGAAGGUUUUCGGAUCGUAAACCUCUGUCCUUGGUGAAGAGAGAGAGACGGUAGCCAAGGAGGAAGCCCCGGCUAACUACGUGCCAGCAGCAGC
rnacentral:rRNA from 1 species